GACGAACGCUGGCGGCGUGCCUAAUACAUGCAAGUUGAGCGCUGAAGGUUGGUACUUGUACCAACUGGAUGAGCAGCGAACGGGUGAGUAACGCGUGGGGAAUCUGCCUUUGAGCGGGGACAACAUUUGGAAACGAAUGCUAAUACCGCAUAAAAACUUUAAACACAAGUUUUAAGUUUGAAAGAUGCAAUUGCAUCACUCAAAGAUGAUCCCGCGUUGUAUUAGCUAGUUGGUGAGGUAAAGGCUCACCAAGGCGAUGAUACAUAGCCGACCUGAGAGGGUGAUCGGCCACAUUGGGACUGAGACACGGCCCAAACUCCUACGGGAGGCAGCAGUAGGGAAUCUUCGGCAAUGGACGAAAGUCUGACCGAGCAACGCCGCGUGAGUGAAGAAGGUUUUCGGAUCGUAAAACUCUGUUGGUAGAGAAGAACGUUGGUGAGAGUGGAAAGCUCAUCAAGUGACGGUAACUACACAGAAAGGGACGGCUAACUACGUG
rnacentral:rRNA from 1 species